UCUAAUCGCAUGGUCUUCACUUUGCCCGAUCUAAUUAGGAAACAAUCAUCGGUAUCAAUCAAUCCGGGGGCAUUAAAAUACUUGACAAAAAUCUUUUAAUGCUUGUCCUGGGGCAUUAAAAUACUUGACAAAAAUCUUUUAAUGCUUGCACUCAGCCUUUCUUUCUCUAACGCAGAUGGAAAGAAAUAUCCUUAUGUGGAGUAGUUUCCAUUUUGCACAUAUCCCACUAAUUACUCAAUCAAUUAAAAAUCAAUCACGAAAUCAAAACUAUCCGUAUUUCCUACCUAUACAUGUGAAUCUUCUUUCCUCUCCAUUCACUCUUCACAGCGUUUGACCGUGUUCUUUCUGGCAAUUUUUUCUCUCGCUCGAUCUGGAAUAAUAGGAGUUACAAGCUCGUUCUCUUGCUCCAUUCGCAUCUGCCGUCGUCGGGCCUCCACCGUGGCGUCGUCGCCUCCUCGCACGUUACCAUCGCUGGCCACCGUAGGGCCUUCAAUGUGGUCUCCGUCACACCUCCUCGCAAGGAGUUGUUGUCGAUGCAGAUGCUAGGAGGCGGCGUGGGCAUGGCAUGGUCCGACGGGGCUGACAACAAGACGCCGACGAGUCCCAUGUCCGCUCGAUUCCGUCCACCCCCGUAUCCAUGCCCAAUCAUCGACGACCUGUGGAGCCUCGCCUGGUUAAUCCCCAACUCGCCUAAGCGCUGCCUCCACGCGCUCCAUGGUGACCACGUCCGUGACCUCGAGGCCUCCACUCCCACACUUGCAAGCACACCAAGAACUUCAGAUGCAUACGUAGAGUCACCUGCAGCUCGCAAAGGAGGCCGAGAUGGAGUAUAAGAAGGUGAUCAAGAAGAUCUCCAGGCACGUCUAGGAGAUGAAGUUAGAAAGAGAGAUCAUGUUAUUGGAGAAAACAAGUCGUAGGCGAAUUCUUCCGAGCAAAAAAGGGAAGUUGUGCUUGCAUUGAGUUCUAAUCGAGUGAGCUCACGAUGUAUAUGGGGCUGCCGCAUGGUGAAAAUUAGCGCCUAAAAAUAGAAAUGCAGUCACAAAAAAGAGCAAAGGAUUUGACGAUAUUACAGAAGGCUCAAAUGGUGGUUCUCAACAACAUGUAAGGAGCGAUGGUUCAGUUGUUCAACUUAAAAUGAGUUUUUGAUAUCAUAGCUGAAUCAUGAAAUGAUUAAUUAGAGAGAAGCCAUGAAGUCUUCUGAUGAGAGAAGACAUGAUGUGUUGUUCUCUCUACGUAGAGCUAUUUGUGUUUGCGUGAUAGAAGGUUUUCAUGUAACUGAUUAACAUUGCAUUUGUAUUCUUAUUUAUUAAGAUGGUGGUUUCCUUUUCAUUUCUAGAAUGACUGGUUAUUGAUUGGCUUGUCGUAUUAACAUAGCCCAUUGGUGUUGAUCUUUGUUA